UACGAAGGGGGCUAGCGUUGCUCGGAAUCACUGGGCGUAAAGCGCACGUAGGCGGAUCUUUAAGUCAGGGGUGAAAUCCCAAGGCUCAACCUUGGAACUGCCUUUGAUACUGGGGAUCUCGAGUCCGGAAGAGGUGAGUGGAACUGCGAGUGUAGAGGUGAAAUUCGUAGAUAUUCGCAAGAACACCCGUGGCGAAGGCGGCUCUCUGGGACGGUACUGACGCUGAGACGCGAAAAGCGUGGGGGAGCAAACAGG
rnacentral:rRNA from 1 species